rnacentral:rRNA from 1 species
UACGGAGGUCUCAAGCGUUGUUCGGAUUCAUUGGGCGUAAAGGGUGCGUAGGCGGCGCGGUAAGUCGGGUGUGAAAUCUUGGAGCUUAACUCCGAAACUGCAUUCGAUACUGCCGCGCUUGAGGACUGGAGAGGAGACUGGAAUUUACGGUGUAGCGGUGAAAUGCGUAGAUAUCGUAAGGAAGACCAGUGGCGAAGGCGGGUCUCUGGACAGUUCCUGACGCUGAGGCACGAAGGCCAGGGGAGCAAACGGG